rfam:Streptococcus sp. 'caviae' strain Cavy grass 6 NODE_6_length_150267_cov_204.705, whole genome shotgun sequence.
AUAACCUUUAAUUGAGUCCAGAGAGGCGAGAAAGGUUGCAGGCGAAUAAAGGAGUCAUUCUCCUUAUAAAGGGGGUCGACCUCUGUUUUCGUGUAACCUUGCUCCUUUGGGCAGGGUUAUUUUUGAU